GAAGUGGAAAGCCCCGAGGAGGAUCUAAAUACAAAACGGAACCACAUUUGAGCGUCGCCCGUCCACUUGUUCUUGCACUGAGCACUACGUUUCGCAAGCGCAGCUACAAUGUACAAGGCUGCUUUGUCGCUGUUGAUGCUGCUGGUCACUGCUCGUGCUGCUCCAAAGCCUUGGCCUUGGGAGCGCCGCUGCCCUGCCUUCAUGCGAUACGGUUGCCCUCCGAAGUACCAGCAGCCAGAUUUCUGUCUUAUCCAUCUAAACGGUACGGACACAUGUCCGUCUCACCUGGUGUGUUGCGAUGUUGCUCGGUGCGAAGGGAAGCAUUGCGUAUCUCCUGUGCCUACACGUCGGUAGAUAUAGCUCGUGCCAUGUCUCACGAUACGUGCCAUAGUGAACUUUCUGCUUCGCCCACCUCUAACAUGGCGGUGUAUUGUAUGAUUGACUGUGCAAAUAAUUAAAUGCCAUGAAAAAAGU